rfam:Cavia porcellus supercont2_23 genomic scaffold, whole genome shotgun sequence.
GGAGGUUUAGCUCAGCGGCAUAAGCACCUGCCUUGCAAGCAGGCGGUCGUGAGUUUGAUCCCCGGUACCACUA